GAUGAACGCUGGCGGCGUGCUUAACACAUGCAAGUCGAACGGAAAGGCUCCUGCUUGCAGGGGUACUCGAGUGGCGAACGGGUGAGUAACACGUGGGUGAUCUGCCCUGCACUUCGGGAUAAGCCUGGGAAACUGGGUCCAAUACCGGAUAGGACGAUGGUUUGGAUGCCAUUGUGGAAAGUUUUUUCGGUGUGGGAUGAGCUCGCGGCCUAUCAGCUUGUUGGUGGGGUAAUGGCCUACCAAGGCGUCGACGGGUAGCCGGCCUGAGAGGGUGUACGGCCACAUUGGGACUGAGAUACGGCCCAGACUCCUACGGGAGGCAGCAGUGGGGAAUAUUGCACAAUGGGCGCAAGCCUGAUGCAGCGACGCCGCGUGGGGGAUGACGGCCUUCGGGUUGUAAACUCCUUUCGCUAGGGACGAAGCGCAAGUGACGGUACCUGGAGAAGAAGCACCGGCUAACUACGUG
rnacentral:rRNA from 1 species